CAGCAAGCUGCUGUGAUCUUGAACAGGGGCUGCAGGGCUGGGGAAAAGCCUUUGUAGCACCUUCAUUAUGAUCAUAGGACGAGUGCCCACCUGGACCACAAAGGAAGUGCAAACCCAGGGGCUGGGAUCCCAGUUCCCACCGAAUUUAAUGCAGGUGCAGCUAUUUGGCUGGAAAGCAGAAGGGCCCUUGUACCCUGAAAACAACCACCUUCCUGUAACCCCAGCUGAACAGAUCUGCUGCUGAUGUGGAACAGCACCACUGAAGCCUUCAGAAAUGUAGUAUUGGAUGAUUAAAAAGAGUUGUUUUCCACACCAGGUUUUGCCUCCCCCUCUGACUUUGGCAUCCUAGAAAGGCAGGCAGAGGGAAUGAUGUUUAAGCACUUGGGGCUGUUUGUGGUGUUUUCACUGCAGAGUCCAGUUGAGCCCAAGGACAGUCCCACUAAGUGCUUUGAUUCCAAACCAGCAGAGGUGAAUUCAUGGCAGGCCAAAUACCACAUCUCAUCUGGGUAAAGUGUCCAUUAAAGUGAGCAGGAACAGAGCCAGCAAAGUGGCUGAAAGCUGAACAAAGCGCUCCACCCAAUGUGCCUCACGCCCAUGGAAGCAGCAGCCAGA